GGCCCGGUAGCGGAUGGUGCACACCCGCACCAUAUUAUCGGGCCAGUAGUUUGCAGUGGGAGCGCUCGUUCGACUCGAGCCCGGGCCA